rnacentral:rRNA from 1 species
UACGUAGGUGGCAAGCGUUGUCCGGAUUUACUGGGCGUAAAGAGCACGCAGGCGGUCGUUCAAGUCGCGUGUGAAAGCCCCCGGCUCAACUGGGGAGGGUCACGCGAUACUGAUCGACUCGAAGGCAGGAGAGGGUAGUGGAAUUCCCGGUGUAGUGGUGAAAUGCGUAGAUAUCGGGAGGAACACCAGUGGCGAAGGCGACUACCUGGCCUGUUUCUUGACGCUGAGGCGCGAAAGCUAGGGGAGCAAACGGGG